GACGAACGCUGGCGGCGUGCUUAACACAUGCAAGUCGAACGGAAAGGCCCUGCUUGCAGGGUGCUCGAGUGGCGAACGGGUGAGUAACACGUGGGUGAUCUGCCCCUUACUUUGGGAUAAGCCUGGGAAACUGGGUCUAAUACUGGAUAGGACCAUGCUGUAGGUGGUGUGGUGGAAAGAUUAGUUUCGGUAAGGGAUGAGCUCGCGGCCUAUCAGCUUGUUGGUGGGGUAAUGGCCUACCAAGGCGUCGACGGGUAGCCGGCCUGAGAGGGUGGACGGCCACAUUGGGACUGAGAUACGGCCCAGACUCCUACGGGAGGCAGCAGUGGGGAAUAUUGCACAAUGGGCGCAAGCCUGAUGCAGCGACGCCACGUGGGGGAUGACGGCCUUCGGGUUGUAAACUCCUUUCAGCCAUGACGAAGCCCUUGUGGUGACGGUAGUGGUAGAAGAAGCACCGGCUAACUACGUG
rnacentral:rRNA from 1 species